ACAGUCCUGCAGGCCACGAGGGGACCUAGAGGAGAGGCCUUCUCGACCACUGCAAAGAGUUCAGAGAGGGAGAAGGCCAGGGGCAGCCUUGGUAGAGGGAAGCCCUUCGUUUCUCUCAACCUACGGUAAGACAUGAUCUUCUUCUCCGUGGCAAAUCGUGUCAUAAAGAUCUUUCCACUCACCUGCCAAUGUCAGGUGUUGAAGCACAGCGAAAAGGAGGACGGCGAGUCUCCAGCGUGGAUUUAAGUGGGGAAGGGGUAGGACCUGGCUUGUGGGAACAGCAAGGCUAGAGCAUCCCCGUUAGAAGUGGGAACUACGGGAACCAGAGCGAGGCAAACGCAUGAAAGGAGGACAUUCUGGAUGGCCUUGGGAGGUGGCUGGGGGGGGGGGUGUGCGGCAGGAGCGGUUCCUCCAGAACUUCCCAGGCAUCUAUAUGCCAAAGAAGUUGGUGCUACAUCAACUAGAGAUGUCAGGCCUUGGGUUCUUGUGCUGCUACGUAAGCAUGGCGGGGCUGGAGCAACUGCUUUUCUCCAGUAGCUGUCAAACCAGCUAGAAAUGUCCCAUGGGAAUCUAACAAGGGCGACUGCAAGAUGCAGGUCUGGCUUCGCGUUAGGCCACGAUGCUACCUUACAUGCUCGUUUUGGGAAUGUCCUUCUUUCUCCUUGGCGGAGCUCUCUUUUUGAGGGGAUAUGUCUUCUCUAGUAAUGGUUAAAGCCAUUUCUCUCCUUAAGGCAACAAUCAAAAGUCUCUAAACCCUUUUCUGGGUCAGGGGCCUAUAAGGACGUGGGGCCCUCCUGUGACAGUGAUGCCUGAAAUGGCAGAUAAGCCCCUCGGUUGGAAUAACUGCAAAUUGAGAAAGAGGAGGAAGAGAAGAGAAGAGACGACUAGAAUCCUAGAGAAACACAAUAAAGUAAAAAAUAAAGCCGCGUGAUGACGAGGUUUGGUUUUCUUCAUGAGCCAACGUUCAACGUAAGUACAAACCAUCACCCCAACAUCACAGUGUUUUAGUUUAUCGCUGGUACCGCAAUAGUAUUUUCUGUUUCUCCGCAGGUAUAGACGCCACAGUAUUGCGGAUUAAAUAGGGGUCUGGCUAGAAAUCAUUGACACUACUAUUUAUGCAAACAACUGACGGUGAAGUUUCAAUCAGUUAACACAGGCGACAUUAAAUUUUGAGGCACAGCUAAGGACGGGCAUGGCCUUUACUUAGUGAAGCAGACCCUCCCUCCCCGUCGCCUCUUCUCUCCUCUUCCUCCUCUUUCUCAAUUUGCAGUGUCUUUGUGUUUAAAGGCCUCAGGUUUAUAGGAGAGAAAGUCUCUUGCUCCACAAACAUACCUUGAAAUUGGAUUCUUGCUGAGAAAUGGACCUUGUUUCACAAAUGAUAUUUGGAUCCAAUGGGCAGGAUGUGUUUAAGUAUUUUGUUUCAAAAUUUUGAUUGAAAAUGAAAGAUUCUCUAUAAAAUAAUACAUUUUCUUGGCACCGCUAAACACCUGGAUUCUGAACAGAUUGAAUCCAUGCUUUAGGUUAAAAAAAUUAGUUUUGUGCUUUUCUGUCAAAAAUAUGAAAGAAGUUCAGUAAAUGGGUUACACAUAAGCAGGUCUGUGUCUGGGGACCGACCAGACGGUCUCUGGAACAUUCGUUAGUGAGACAGACGACGGAAAUGCAAAAGAUGAAUAGAAGACUUCCUGAAUUAUUCAGAACUACCACAGUAGAGUAUUCAAAAGACGAGGUUUUUUAGGCAUUUCUUGAUAUUUCUGAAGAACUCUUAUGGCAACUUCAAAGGGCCUCUGACCAAGCCAUUCCAUCGCUGAACAUUUUUCUAAGGAAAUAUUUAUAAACGGUGCAAGUACACAAAGUUAGAAUGCACAUCACAAUAUGUCUUCACAGCAAAAAAUUGAAAGCACUUUAAAUAUUCAAAAGUGGAGUUCCCGUCGUGGCGCAGUGGUUAACGGGAAUCCGACUAGGAACCCAGGGUUCGAUCCCUGGCCUUGCUCAGCGGGUUAAGGACCCACCGUGGCUGUGAGCUGUGGUGCAGGUCGCAGACGCAGCUCGGAUCCCGCGUUGCUGUGGCUGUGGUGUAGGCCGGCGGCUACGGCUCCCAUUAGACCCCUAGCCUGGGAACCUCCAUAUGCCGUGGGGGUGGCCCUAGAAAAGGCGAAAAGAAAAAAUAAAUAAAUAUUCAAAAGUAAGGGACUGCUGCAUAAAUUACGAUAACGCAAUAGAAGACUAUCCAAGCAUAAACCAUCGUGUAACUCCAUACCAAUUUAUGUGGAAUUACAUUUUUGGUAUGUUAAUAGUUUUAAAAACUGUGCUGCAGAACAGUAGAGCAUAAUCAAACUAGGUUUGAAAACUCAUGUGCAGGCCGCCCUCUGUAUGCGCAUAUGAGGGAAAAAACCUGAGAAAAAAAUCCCAAGAAAAUGAAUGUAAGAAAAAAUCCUUCCAGGGCUCUUCUCUGAGUCAUUACUGAGUAAUAUUUGACAGGUCACUUACCGUUACCUUUUGCUUCUUACGAAGAGAUUAAACGCCACCAUUCCUUUUAUAUAUCCUUAGAUGUAAGGGUCAACCCACCUAAAGCGAUGGCCACUGGUGGGAAAAGCAUGGCCAGUAGGGUUCUACCAUCAUAACUGGUAAGAUACAACUUUGUACCCACUCUAAUUAUACAGAAAAAUACAUUAUUUUUAGCAUAGUUUUUUUUUUUCAUUUCAUUUAUAUAUUUAUUUAUUUAUUUUGUCUUUUUGCUAUUUCUUUGGGCCACUCCUGCGGCAUAUGCAGGUUCCCAGGCUAGGGGUUGAAUCGGAGCUGUAGCCACCGGCCUACACCAGAGCCACAGCAACGAGGGAUCCGAGCCGCGUCUGCAACCUACACCACAGCUCACGGCAACACCAGAUCAUUAACCCACUGAGCAAGGGCAGGGACCGAACCCGCAACCUCAUGGCUCCUAGUUGGAUUUGUUAACCACUGCGCCACGACGGGAACUCCCUGUUUUUAGCAGUUUUAAGGUCACAGCAAGAUUGAGAGGAAGGUGCAGAGAUUUCUCAUACAUCAUCAUUUUCUGAUUUCCCAAGUUGGAAACUUUAGAUGACUGAAUUUAGAUUUUUCUCUUUUUUUAAUAUAUGCAUUUGAUGCUAUAAAUUCCCCUCUUUGCACUGAUUUUUAAUAAAGUGUAUUUUAAUUUUCAUUUAGUUCAAAAUAUUUAAAAAUUUUUGAGAUUUCUUCUUUGACCCAUGUAUUAUUUAGAAGUAUUUUAUUUAAUCUCCAUGUAUCUUGGGAUUUUCCAAUUACCUUUUCAUUAUAGUUUCUAGCUUAAUUCCACUGUGGCCUAUGGGGAGACAGUGUAUAAUUUCUACUUUUUAAAAUUUGCUCAGGUGUGUUUCAUGGCCCAGAGUGCAGUCCAUCUUGAUGAAUAUUCCAUGUGAGCUUGAGAAAAAUGUGUAUUCUGUUCCUGUUGGACACAGUAGUCUAGAGAUGUCCAUUCUAUCCAACUGACUCGUGGCACUGUUGAGUUCAACUACGUCCUUACUGAUUUUCGGUCUGUUCAACCUGUCCAUUCUUGGUAGAAUUCUCCAGCUAUCACAGUGCAUUCUUCUACUUCUCCUUGAAGUUCUAUCAGUUUUUGCCUCUCGUAGUUUGACACGGUGUCGUUAGGCACAUGCAUGGUAAGAACUGCUACAUCUUCUUGGACAACUGCCCCCUAACUUUUCUUGCUUUGAAGGUUGCUCUGUCUGCAAUUAAACAGUUGCUCCUGCUUUCUGUUGAAUAGUGCUAGCAUGCUAUUUCUCCAUCCAUAUACUUUUUUUUUUUUUUUGUCUUUUUGUCUUUUAGGGCUGCACACGCAGCAUAUGGAGGUUCCCAGGCUAGGGGUGCAGUCGGUCCUCACGGAUGCUAGUCGUGUUCGCUGACCGCUGAGCCACGGCAGGAACCCCUCCAUCCAUUUACUUUUAAUGUAUGUGUGUCUUUAUAGUUAAAAUGGGUUUCUUAUAGCCAACACCCAGCUGAGUAGUGAGGUCUCCUGUGGUCUGCUCUGAUAAUCUUCGUCUUUUAAUGGGUGCAUUUAAGCCACUGACAUUCAGAGCGAUUACUGAUACAGUUAGAUUCGUAUUUACCGUAUUCAUCACACUUUCUAUUUGUUGUCCUUGUCUUU
rnacentral:lncRNA from 1 species